rnacentral:rRNA from 1 species
UACGUAGGGACCAAGCGUUGUUCGGAUUUACUGGGCGUAAAGGGCGCGUAGGCGGCUUGUCAAGUCACUUGUGAAAUCUCUGGGCUUAACCCAGAACGGCCAAGUGAAACUGACAUGCUAGAGUGCAGAAGGGGCAAUCGGAAUUCUUGGUGUAGCGGUGAAAUGCGUAGAUAUCAGGAGGAACACCGGUGGCGAAGGCGGGUCUCUGGGCAACAACUGACGCUGAGGAGCGAAAGCGUGGGGAGCGAACAGG